CCUACGGGGUGCAGCAGUGGGGGAUAUUGCACAAUGUGGGAAACCCUGAUGCAGCGACGCCGCGUGUGGGAAGACGGUCUUCUGGAUUGUAAACCACUGUCCCCAGGGACGAAAAUGACGGUACCUGGGGAGGAAGCUCCGGCUAACUACGUGCCAGCAGCCGCGGUAAUACGUAGGGAGCAAGCGUUGUCCGGAAUUACUGGGUGUAAAGGGAGCGUAGGCGGGGAUGCAAGUUGGGUGUCAAAACUACCGGCUCAGCCGAUAGUCGCACUCAAAACUGCAACUCUUGAGUGAAGUAGAGGCAGGCGGAAUUCCUAGUGUAGCGGUGAAAUGCGUAGAUAUUAGGAGGAACACCAGUGGCGAAGGCGGCCUGCUGGGCUUUUACUGACGCUGAGGCUCGAAAGUGUGGGGAGCAAACAGGAUUAGAUACCCCAGUAGUC
rnacentral:rRNA from 1 species